rnacentral:misc_RNA from 1 species
GGAAGAUCCAGUGCUUCUCUUUCAUGGAACAAUUACUUCUAUGGGCCUUCUGUUUCAUCUUCCCGUUGUGUAUAUCAUCGGGCCUGGAAACUGAACCGCCAUUGGAGUUGAGUCAUCUGACUCGGGAGCUAUUGGAAUCGGCGAGAGACCCGGAGUUCUUCGAGUGGUUAGUUAGGGCUCGAAGGAAAUUGCACCAGAAUCCAGAGCUGUCCUUUGAGGAAUUCGAAACCAGCCAAUUCAUCCGAACAGAGCUCGAAUCGCUUGGGAUUAAUUUCACUUGGCCCCUCGCUAAGACUGGGAUUGUGGCCUCCGUCGGAUCAGGUUCGCACCCAUGGUUCGCUCUUAGGGCCGAUAUGGAUGCUCUUCCUAUUCAGGAAAUGGUGGAGUGGGAGCAUAAGAGCAAGAAGGAUGGCAAAAUGCAUGCUUGUGGCCAUGAUGCUCAUGUGGCUAUGCUUAUUGGUGCGGCUAGAAUUUUAAAGGCUCG